CUUAUUUUAUUUUUGCUCAAGUGUAUGGAUAUGUUACAUCAGGAUUUGCCUGAUAUUCCAUUAGAUAACGAAUUAUUAUACCAUUUUCUUAGUUCUACCUUUUCUAUUUUAUCAUUGAUUUUACAAUAUAUACAAAUAUAUAAAACAAUAUGGUGGCUUCCCCAAUCGCAUACUCCUUAUGCAUUAAAUUUCUAUUUAAUGGAUUUAUACUUGAUGGUAUAUGUUAUUAUAAUUUUAAUAAAACCAUUUAUUAUGACAAUAAAAUCCAAAGAAUCAUAUGGAGAAAUGUUUUGUACUAAUAGAUUUACAUUGUCAAAAUAUAUAAAUGCUGGUCUGAACUUAUUAUUUAUUGGUUUAUUUGUCAUUCAGAUACUGAGUUUUUAUUAUGUAUUCCAAACAUAUGAUGUUUUAAGACUACUCUUUUUAAUUUAUCCUAUUUUUAUAUAUCUCAUUUUGUAUCAUAACCAAAUCCAUUUUAAUCCAAAGUUUUGGACCUCAUUUAAUUUAUAUCAAAUUUGUGGGACAUUUAAAAAUGAAAAUCUACAUAUUGAAAAAUCUAUCAAACAUAAUUGUAUGGAUAUAUCAGUUUAUCCAGCUCACAUUUACAAAGAAAUCAAUCAUUUAAACCAAUUCAUACAUUUAAACAUUAAGAAUAUUUUGUAUAAUACAAUUAUCAUAGCAUAUUAUGCAUGCUUUCUACCUUGUGUUAUGGCACCACCAAUCAUUAAUUAUAAUUUAAGAGAUAUCAUUUUACUUUCAAUGAUUAUAACUGUGACAACUCUAGCUCAUAGUAUUUAUCAUACAUUUUCUUAUAAAAAUGUUGAUGAAAUUUACAAAAUCUGCAUCCAUUUUGAUUAUAUAAUGGCUGACACAUCUCAGAAUAUAAACAACCAUUCCCAGUAAAUUAAUUUGGGUCAUAGGUGACACAUGGGUUUGGAUAUCUAUUAGCACAAUCUCCGGUUUAGGCAAAAUUUAUCUGCCUAUAAUAUUGAGCUAGCCAUUUAUAAAAAUUGGCUGAAAUCGAGCCGUUUAACAACACUACCACCAGCUGUGCUAAAGACUAAUUCUGAUACACUUGUUGCAGGAAAUAUCAAAUACUAACGUUCAGGGUUUGUCAGAGAUGGAAACCAGGGCUUAACCCUCCAAUAAUCUAGAGGAUCGCUCUUAACGAUAAAGUCAUCUGUGAUACAACAAAUAUUCAAGAAUCAGAGUUUUUGCAGUCUCCAUACUUUCUCUUCUUCAAGGAACCUACCAAUUUCAUAAAAUCGUUGUUAAUGCUUCAAUCUACCCUGAUUGCCUGCCAAAUGUACUCGCUGUAUAUUAAUACCGAGUGGAACCUAGUGUUAUCAAUAGGUUUUUUGCUAUUCUGCAACUACUAUCUGUUGUUCAAAAUUUUAAGAGAUUAUUUUACACUGGAAAAAGUAUAUGGUAUUAAAUCUAAAUCAUCUUAAAAAAGGUCCCAAAAAAUACUCCAAAUUUAAUUUAUUUAUAUAAUUAUUUUUCACCAAAAUUUAAUUGUAAUCAUUUCAUCUUUGGAAGCGAUAUCAUUUCAAAACAUGUGUAAACUUUUUUGAGUUUACUAAUUAUUCUUUCGUGGAAUUUCGAAUGAAUUAUUAUAAAUAAUAAAUUUAUAAAAGGAAUAGAGUUUUAUAAAAACAGCACAUUAUAUAAUCCCAAACUCAUGCUUAUUUGGUAAGGUAAUAUAUAAUG